GGGGGAUAUUGCGCAAUGGGGGGAACCCUGACGCAGCAACGCCGCGUGAAGGAUGAAGGUUUUCGGAUUGUAAACUUCUUUGAUGAGGGACGAAAAAAAUGACGGUACCUCAAAAACAAGCCACGGCUAACUACGUGCCAGCAGCCGCGGUAAUACGUAGGUGGCGAGCGUUGUCCGGAAUUACUGGGUGUAAAGGGCGCGUAGGCGGGGAUGCAAGUCAGAUGUGAAAUACCGGGGCUUAACCUCGGGGGUGCAUCUGAAACUGUAUUUCUUGAGUGUCGGAGAGGAAAGUGGAAUUCCCAGUGUAGCGGUGAAAUGCGUAGAUAUUGGGAGGAACACCAGUGGCGAAGGCGACUUUCUGGACGACAACUGACGCUGAGGCGCGAAAGCGUGGGGAGCAAAC
rnacentral:rRNA from 1 species